CGCGUCGCCGGAGGGGACGGUGUGGCUGGCGGCGCACGCUCAGGCGGUCCAAUGAGGCGCGGACAUGCUCGUGUGACGCCGUCAGUUUUCUGAAAUCGACUGGUGAAUUCUGAAGUGGAAGGGACGUGACGCUUCGCCCGUGAUGCGCGCGCUAUAAUGAGGACGGCAGCGGCAUGCUGGACAGCCGCCAUCUUGGUAUCCGCCAUCUUGACAGGGAAGGACGUGUGCCGGAGCUUGGAGGUGCGGCCGCCCGCCGACUACACGGCCAUGUCGGGGGACCUGGAGGUGCGGCUGACGGC